rnacentral:rRNA from 1 species
AUUGAACGCUGGCGGCAUGCUUUACACAUGCAAGUCGAACGGCAGCGCGGGCUUCGGCCUGGCGGCGAGUGGCGAACGGGUGAGUAAUACAUCGGAACGUGCCCAGUAGUGGGGGAUAGCUCGGCGAAAGCCGGAUUAAUACCGCAUACGACCUGAGGGUGAAAGCGGGGGAUCUUCGGACCUCGCGCUAUUGGAGCGGCCGAUGGCAGAUUAGCUAGUUGGUGGGGUAAAGGCCUACCAAGGCGACGAUCUGUAGCUGGUCUGAGAGGACGACCAGCCACACUGGGACUGAGACACGGCCCAGACUCCUACGGGAGGCAGCAGUGGGGAAUUUUGGACAAAGGGCGAAAGCCUGAUCCAGCAAUGCCGCGUGUGUGAUGAAGGCCUUCGGGUUGUAAAGCACUUUUGGCGGGAACGAAAAGGACUGUGCCAAUACCACGGUUCGAUGACGGUACCCGCAGAAUAAGCACCGGCUAACCACGUG